UACGAAGGGUGCUAGCGUUGUUCGGAAUUAUUGGGCGUAAAGCGUACGUAGGCGGCUUGAUAAGUCGAGUGUGAAAGCCCAGAGCUCAACUUUGGAAUUGCAAUCGAAACUGUCUCGCUAGAGUUUGGUGGGGGAUGGCAGAAUUUCUAGUGUAGGGGUGAAAUCCGUAGAUAUUAGAAGGAAUACCAGUGGCGAAGGCGGCCAUCUAUGCCAAUACUGACGCUAAGGUACGAAAGCGUGGGGAGCAAACAGG
rnacentral:rRNA from 1 species